CCCUCUCCUCUCGCCUCUCCCCCUCUCCUCUCCUCUCCGCUCCUCUCCGCGCCCCGCUCCGCUCCGCGCCCCCUCCUCCCGGCCCCCGCCCGCCCCGCAGGACCGGGGAGCGCGGCGCGGCGCGGCUGCAGGCUGUGCUCCGGGCAGCGGAGGCCGCACAGGAUGUGCUUGAGCAAACAAAACUACUUUCCCGGCCCUCCCCCACGCGCCGCAGACCUCCGCGGACGCGGCCGGCGGCCCCGCCAGGUAACUUUUUCCCCCUCUGAAAUGCGGUAUGGCUCAAAGCAUUGUAAUCUCUCCAACGAAGCUUUCUAGGGGAAUAGAUCGUCGGCAGAGGCUCUCCUCCCUGCUGGGAAAAAAAGUAUACCUCCUUCCUCCGAACCCCCAUAUCUUCCUCCUCCUCUCCUCCCUCUAGUUUGCAGCCUGCUGCAUUUGUGAAUCCGGCUCUAAAUUCCAAGAGGAAAGACACUGGCACAGAGACGGAAACCUGCACCUUGGCAGAGGCUGCACAGCUAGAGAGCUGAAAGGGGGAAAUUCCAGUAGGAAUGCCCACGGCGCGGGUGAGGGUGAGGGGAGGGUUAAGGCCACUCAUUCAGACCCCCUCCCCCUUUUUAAAGGAAAGGGCAAGAGAUUCGCUCCUGGAGAGAGCAAAAUAAAACUCUGAAAUAUUCUGCAUCUGUCUAAAGUUAUUUCAUGUUGGU